AGUUUGAUCCUGGCUCAGAACGAACGCUGGCGGCAGGCUUAACACAUGCAAGUCGAACGCCCCGCAAGGGGAGUGGCAGACGGGUGAGUAACGCGUGGGAACAUACCCUUUUCUACGGAAUAGCUCUGGGAAACUGGAAUUAAUACCGUAUACGCCCUACGGGGGAAAGAUUUAUCGGGGAAGGAUUGGCCCGCGUUGGAUUAGCUAGUUGGUGGGGUAAAGGCCUACCAAGGCGACGAUCCAUAGCUGGUCUGAGAGGAUGAUCAGCCACAUUGGGACUGAGACACGGCCCAAACUCCUACGGGAGGCAGCAGUGGGGAAUAUUGGACAAUGGGCGCAAGCCUGAUCCAGCCAUGCCGCGUGAGUGAUGAAGGCCUUAGGGUUGUAAAGCUCUUUCACCGGUGAAGAUAAUGACGGUAACCGGAGAAGAAGCCCCGGCUAACUUCGUGCCAGCAGCCGCGGUAA
rnacentral:rRNA from 1 species